CCUACGGGUGGCAGCAGUGGGGAAUAUUGCACAAUGGGGGAAACCCUGAUGCAGCGACGCCGCGUGAGUGAAGAAGUAAUUCGUUAUGUACAGCUCUAUCAGCAGGGAAGAAAAUGACGGUAACUGAGUAAGAAGCCCCGGCUAACUACGUGCCAGCAGCCGCGGUAAGACGUAGGGGGCAAGCGUUAUCCGGAUGUACUGGGUGUAAAGGGAGCGUAGUCGGCAGUGCAAGUCUGGAGUGAAGGGCGGGGGCUCAACCCCCGGACUGCUUUGGAAACUGUGCGGCUGGAGUGCGGAAGGGGUAAGUGGAAUUGCUAGUGUAGAGGUGAAAUGCGUAGAUAUUAGGAGGAA
rnacentral:rRNA from 1 species